AUACGUAGGGUGCAAGCGUUAAUCGGAAUUACUGGGCGUAAAGCGUGCGCAGGCGGUUUUGUAAGACAGAGGUGAAAUCCCCGGGCUCAACCUGGGAACUGCCUUUGUGACUGCAAGGCUAGAGUACGGCAGAGGGGGAUGGAAUUCCGCGUGUAGCAGUGAAAUGCGUAGAUAUGCGGAGGAACACCGAUGGCGAAGGCAAUCCCCUGGGCCUGUACCGACUCUCAUGCACGAAAGCGUGGGGAGCAAACAGGAUUAGAUACCCUGGUAGUCCACGCCCUAAACGAUGUCAACUGGUUGUUGGGUCUUCAUUGACUCAGUAACGAAGCUAACGCGUGAAGUUGACCGCCUGGGGAGUACGGCCGCAAGGUUAAAACUUAAAGGAAUUGACGGGG
rnacentral:rRNA from 1 species